GUGGGGAAUCUUGCGCAAUGGGCGAAAGCCUGACGCAGCCAUGCCGCGUGAAUGAUGAAGGUCUUAGGAUUGUAAAAUUCUUUCACCGGGGACGAUAAUGACGGUACCCGGAGAAGAAGCUCCGGCUAACUUCGUGCCAGCAGCCGCGGUAAUACGAAGGGGGCUAGCGUUGCUCGGAAUUACUGGACGUAAAGGGCGCGUAGGCGGACAGCUUAGUCAGAGGUGAAAGCCCAGGGCUCAACCUUGGAAUUGCCUUUGAUACUGGCUGUCUUGAGUUUGGGAGAGGUGAGUGGAACUCCGAGUGUAGAGGUGAAAUUCGUAGAUAUUCGGAAGAACACCAGUGGCGAAGGCGACUCACUGGCCCAAUACUGACGCUGAGGCGCGAAAGCGUGGGGAGCAAACAGGAUUAGAUACCCUAGUAGUCC
rnacentral:rRNA from 1 species